UCUUCAUUCCUCAUAGUCUCUCACCGGUCAGAGAGGCGAGAGAGUGUGCGAAAUGAAGAGA
rfam:Pristionchus pacificus strain PS312 contig8307, whole genome shotgun sequence.